AUACGGGGGGUGCAAGCGUUAAUCGGAAUUACUGGGCGUAAAGCGCGCGUAGGCGGUGUGCUCAGUCGGAUGUGAAAGCCCAGGGCUCAACCUGGGAACUGCAUACGAUACUGGCAAACUAGAGUGUGAGAGAGGAUAGUGGAAUUUCCGGUGUAGCGGUGAAAUGCGUAGAUAUCGGAAGGAACAUCAGUGGCGAAGGCGACUGUCUGGCUCAACACUGACGCUGAGGUGCGAAAGCGUGGGUAGCAAACAGGAUUAGAAACCCUAGUAGUCC
rnacentral:rRNA from 1 species